CUCCCGAUGGUGUAGUUGGUUCAUCACGUUCGGCUGUAAUUGUCUUCCGCAAUCAUUGCAAUGAUUGCUACCGAAAGGUCCCUAGUUCGAUUCUGGGUCGGGAGA